rnacentral:rRNA from 1 species
AUUGAACGCUGGCGGCAGGCCUAACACAUGCAAGUCGAACGAGUGGCGGACGGGCGAGUAAUGCUUGGGCAUCUAGCUUAUGGAGGGGGAUAACUACGGGAAACUGUAGCUAAUACCGCGUACCAUAGUAUGAGCCCACGGGGGAUUAGGGAGUUGGUGAGGUAACGGCUCACCUAGGCGACGAUCCCUAGCUGUUCUGAGAGGAUGAUCAGCCACACUGGGACUGAGACACGGCCCAGACUCCUACGGGAGGCAGCAGUGGGGAAUAUUGCACAAUGGGCGCAAGCCUGAUGCAGCCAUGCCGCGUGUAUGAAGAAGGCCUUCGGGUUGUAAAGUACUUUCAGUCGGGAGGCGUUACCGACAGAAGAAGCACCGGCUAACUCCGUGCCAGCAGCCGCGGUAAUUC